rnacentral:tRNA from 1 species
GGGCCCGUAGUCUAGACCGGCUAUGACGUCGCCUUGACGUGGCGAAGACCCCCGGUUCAAAUCCGGGCGGGCCCA